UAGAUACCCUGGUAGUCCACGCCGUAAACGAUGAGUGCUAAGUGUUAGGGGGUUCCGCCCUUUAGUGCUGCAGCUAACGCAUUAAGCACCCCGCCUGGGGAGUACGGUCGCAAGACUGAAACUCAAAGGAAUUGACGGGGGCCCGCACAAGCGGUGGAGCAUGUGGUUUAAUUCGAAGCAACGUGAAGAACCUUACCAGGUCUUGACAUCCUCUGACAACCCUAGAGAUAGGUUUUUCCCUUGUGGGACAGAGUGACAGGUGGUGCAUGGUUGUCGUCAGCUCGUGUCGUGAGAUGUUGGGUUAAGUCCCGCAACCAGCGCAACCCUUGAUAUUAGUUGCCAGCAUUCAGUUGGGCACUUUAAGGUGAAAGCCGGUGACAAACCGGAGGAAGGCCGGAUCCCUCAAAUCAUCCAACCCCCAUAACCCGGGAAACACACAAACACAUCCCCUUCCCAAAGGGUUCGAGACCGCAAGGUUUAGCCAAUCCCACAAAUCCGUUCUCAGUUCGGAUCGCGGUCUGCAUCGAGAGUGUGAUC
rnacentral:rRNA from 1 species